rnacentral:rRNA from 1 species
CAAGAGCGUAUAUUAAAGUUGUUGCAGUUAAAAAGCUCGUAGUUGGAUUUCUGGUACAACGCGCCUGGCCCGCAUUUGUGAGUGCCGGCGCGCGUUUGCCAUCCUUCUAGAAAACGUUUCUACCUGGGCAACUGGGCCGGACUCGCGAUCUAGAUCUUUUACUUUGAAAAAUUAGAGUGUUUAAAGCAGGCUUUUGCUGUGAAUACAUUAGCAUGGAAUAAUAAUCUAGGACUUCGGUUCUAUUUUGUUGGUUUCUAGUACUGAAGUAAUGAUUGAUAGGGAUAGUUGGGGGUGCUAGUAUUGGCCGGCCAGAGGUGAAAUUCUCCGAUUUGUUAAAGACUAACUUAUGCGAAAGCAUUUGCCAAGGAUGUUUUCAUUAAUCAAGAACGAAAGUUAGGGGAUCAAAGACGAUCAGAUACC